rnacentral:rRNA from 1 species
GAUGAACGCUGGCGGCGUGCCUAAUACAUGCAAGUCGAGCGAACAGACGAGGUGCUUGUUCCUCUGACGUUAGCGGCGGACGGGUGAGUAACACGUGGGUAACCUACCUAUAAGACUGGGAUAACUUCGGGAAACCGGAGCUAAUACCGGAUAAUAUCUUUAACCGCAUGGUUUAAUAGUGAAAGAUGCUUUUGCUGUAACUUAUGGAUGGCUCCGCGGCGCAUUAGCUAGUUGGUAAGGUAACGGCUUACCAAGGCAACGAUGCGUAGCCGACUUGAGAGGGUGAUCGGCCACACGGGAACUGAGACACGGUCCAGACUCUUACGGAGGGCAGACGAAGGAAUUCUCCCGCAAGGGGGGAAAUCUUGACGGAGCAACGCCGCUGGGUGGAGGAAGGUCUUCGGAUCGUAAAACUCUGUUAUUAGGGAGAACCAAAUGUGUAAGUAACUAUUCACCACUUGACGGUACCUAAUCAGAAAGCCACGGCUAACUACGUG